rnacentral:rRNA from 1 species
GGAUUAGGCAUGCAAGUCGAACGAGGGAGUAUUCCGAAAGGGGUACAAAUCGAGUGGCGUAAGGGUGAGUAAUGCAUUGAUAACCUACCUUUAAGAUGGGGAUAACGACGUUUCGAGCAAUCGGAACUACCGAAAGGGUUGCUAAUACUCAAUGAAACUAUUGAUACUUCGGUAUUGAUAGUCAAAGGCAUGGGGCCGUAAGGUUCCAUGUGCUUAGAGAGGGGUCAAUGUCCUAUUAGCUAGUUGGUAGGGUAAUGGCCUACCAAGGCGAAGACGGGUAGCCGGCCUGAGAGGGUGGUCGGCCACACUGGGACUGAGACACUGCCCAGACUCCUACGGGAGGCUGCAGUCGAGAAUCUUUCGCAAUGCCCGAAAGGGUGACGAAGCGACGCCGCGUGUGGGAAGAAGGCCUUCGGGUUGUAAACCACUGUCGGGAGUUAAGAAAUGUAAGGGUGUUAAUAGCAUCCUUACUUGACUAAGGCUCCGGAGGAAGCCACGGCUAACUCUGUGCCAGCAGCCGCGGUAAUACAGAGGCGGCAAGCGUUGUUCGGAAUUAUUGGGCGUAAAGAGCACGUAGGCGGCCUUGUAAGUCAGUUGUGAAAGCCUUCUGCUUAACGGAAGAACAGCAUCUGAUACUGCAAGGCUAGAGUGCGGAAGGGGAGAGUGGAACUUCUGGUGGAGCGGUGAAAUGCGUAGAUAUCAGAAGGAACACCGGCGGCGAAGGCGACUCUCUGGUCCGUAACUGACGCUGAGUGUGCGAAAGCUAGGGGAGCAAACGGGAUUAGAUACCCCGGUAGUCCUAGCCGUAAACGAUGGGCACUAAGUAGAGGGGUUUU